GAUUAACGCUGGCGGCGUGCAUAACACAUGCAAGUCGAACGAUGAAACUUAGUAGACUUCUUCGGAAAGACACUAAGCGGAUUAGUGGCGAACGGGUGAGUAACGCGUGAGUAACCUGCCUUACACAAGGGGAUAGCCUUUGGAAACGAAGAAUAAUACCCUAUAAAACUAUACAAGCACAUGCUAGAAUGGUCAAAGUGCUAGCGGUGUAAGAUGGACUUGCGUCUGAUUAGCUAGUUGGUGAGAUAAAAGCUCACCAAGGCAACGAUCAGUAGCCGGCUUGAGAGGGUGUACGGCCACAUUGGGACUGAGACACGGCCCAGACUCCUACGGGAGGCAGCAGUGGGGAAUUUUGCACAAUGGGGGAAACCCUGAUGCAGCGACGCCGCGUGAUUUAGAAGGCCUUCGGGUUGUAAAAAUCUUUUGUAUAGGAAGAAAAUGACAGUACUAUACGAAUAAGGUCCGGCUAAUUACGUG
rnacentral:rRNA from 1 species